rnacentral:rRNA from 1 species
GACAGAGGGUGCAAGCGUUGUUCGGAAUCAUUGGGCGUAAAGGGCGCGUAGGCGGUGGAGUAAGUCAACUGUGAAAGCCCAGGGCUUAACCUUGGAAGUGCAGCUGAAACUACUUCACUCGAGUCUCGGAGAGGAGCGCGGAAUUCCCGGUGUAGCGGUGAAAUGCGUAGAGAUCGGGAGGAAGGCCGGUGGCGAAGGCGGCGCUCUGGAACAUUUCUGACGCUGAGGCUCGAAAGCGUGGGGAGCAAAC